GACGAACGCUGGCGGCGUGCUUAACACAUGCAAGUCGAACGGAAAGGCCCGGCUUUUGUGGGGUUCUCGAGUGGCGAACGGGUGAGUAACACGUGAGUAACCUGCCCUUGACUGUGGGAUAACUUCAGGAAACUGGGGCUCAUACCGGAUAGGAGCUCCUGCUGCAUGGGGGGGGUUGGAAAGUUUCGGCGGUUGGGGCUGGACUCGCGGCUUAUCAGCUUCUUGGUGGGGUAGUGGCUUACCAAGGCUUUGACGGGUAGCCGGCCUGAGAGGGUGACCGGCCACAUUGGGACUGAGAUACGGCGCAGAAGCCUACGGGAGGCAGCAGUGGGGAAUAUUGCACAGUGGGGGGAAGCCUGAUGCAGCAGCGCCGCGUGCGUGAUGCCGUCCUUCGAGUUGUGAACCGAUUUGGCCUGUGACGAAGCGAGAGUGACGGUAAUGGGUAAAGAAGCACCGGCUAACUACGUG
rnacentral:rRNA from 1 species